rnacentral:rRNA from 1 species
UACGUAGGGUGCGAGCGUUGUCCGGAUUUAUUGGGCGUAAAGAGCUCGUAGGCGGCUUGUCGCGUCGACUGUGAAAACCCGAGGCUCAACUUCGGGCUUGCAGUCGAUACGGGCAGACUAGAGUGCGGUAGGGGAGACUGGAAUUCCUGGUGUAGCGGUGAAAUGCGCAGAUAUCAGGAGGAACACCGGUGGCGAAGGCGGGUCUCUGGGCCGUAACUGACGCUGAGGAGCGAAAGCGUGGGGAGCGAACAGG